CCCAUCAGCACUGAGAAGCCCCAGGCCAAACAACAAUCCGGGUGGGAUCACAGCCCCGCCCUUCAGUAAACAGGCUGCCUGAAGACCCCCCAGGCACACAGCCACCUCUAAUCUCACCCAGAGACAAGCCCAACCCACCAGAGGAAUAGGAAUCCGCCUCACCUGCCAGUGGGCAGGCACCCUUCCCUCCCACCAGGAAGCCUACAGCAAGCCCCCAUACCAACUUCCGCCACAAGGGGGGGCAGACGCCAGAGUAAGAGAGGCUACAACUCUAUUUGUAAAACGGUCCCCACACCAAAAACCUAUGAAAAUGAAAAGGCAGAGAACUAUAACUCAGAUGAGGGAGAAAGAAAAAACCCCAGAAAAACAGCUGAGUGAUCAGGAGAUUCUCAGCCUCCAGGAAAAAGACUUUAGACUGUUGAUGCAGAAGAUGUUGCAAGACAUUGGAGAUAAACCGGAGGCAAAGGUGGAUAAUUUACAGGAAACGCUGAGCAAAGAGAUACAAGAUAGAAAACUUCAGCAAGAAGAGGUGGAAUUACCACCCAGACCAAGACAGAGAACUUUUCCAGCACUGCUCUGUCUCUUCAGUGAGAAGACCUCUCCCACCUCGGAUUCAGGUUGCCUGUUGAUCAUGUAAAUGGAAUGAUGUGGACAACGGGCAGCCAAGGGAGCGGGACGAACGCAUCAGGAUCGCUGUGUUGCCAGAUGGAUCCCCGGGCAGGCAUAGAGCCUGGUCCUGUUCCUCCUGGACUCAUUUCCUCUACCGUGGCCAUGGCUGGGGCCUUCAAAACAAAAAAAUGCCUCCUGUGGACCGUGGAUCUAUGAUGGAGGAUCCUGGCAUAUUGACUUUUUUUCCAAUGCCAACCAGCACAUACAUUUUUGCCACAGCGAAAAGGCGCCACAAAAGGGACAGAUGAGCGAAUAUGGUAAUGCGGUAUGUUUCCCUUGUUUUAAAAAAAGGUAAUAUUUAAAAUCAUCAUGUUGGGAGUUCCUGCUGUGGCACAACAGGAUCCAUUGGUGGUGUCGUUGUAGCACCAGGACUCAGGUUCGAUUCCCUGCCUGGCACAGUGGGUUGAAAGGAUCCAGCAUUGCCACAGCUGUGACUUGGGAUCUGGUCCCUGGCUUGGGAACUCAAUAAGCCUCAGCGCGAGGCAGCCAAUACACACCCACAUACCUACCUAAAUAUGUAUGCAAAUAAAUAAUUUGAUUAAUUAAUUUUAAGAAAGCAACGUCACUGCCAGGACAGGGGGUGGGGGCAGAGUGUGCAGGCAAAAUAAAAUAAUACUCAUAAAAGUAUUUGAACAUGUAUGCUUUCAAUAAAGGAAAAGAGGGAGUUCCCGUCGUGGCGCAGUGGUUAACGAACUGACUAGAAACCAUGAGGUUGCAGGUUCGAUCCCUGGCCUUGCUCAGUGCGUUAAGGAGCCGGCAUUGCCGUGAGCUGUGGUGUAGGUGGCAGAUGCGGCUCAGCUCCCGCAUUGCUGUGGCUGUGGUGUAAGCCAGCAGCCACAGCUCCGAUUCGACUCCUAGCCUGGGAACCUCCUUAUGCCGGGGGAGCGGCCCUAGAAAAGGCAAAAAAAAAAAAAAGAAAGAAAGAAAUUAGGAGACUGGCGCAGAGGGCUGCCCAACACCUGGUUGACCCUGACGCAUCCACCCCUGAGACCAAGUCCGCUGGGACAGCUGGUCGACCCACAGAGGCCUGGGUCAAAAAAUAAUCAUAAUAAAAUAAAGCUGCUUUAGCCAUUAUUACAUAUGUCUUCUGGAAUGCAUAAGCACACAUCCCUAUUGGUACACAACAAGGAGUGGGAUUCCAGGGGCAUAGGGUAGAUGUAUGUUUAAUCCUAGCAGAUAAGGCUGGCAUUGCAAAGGAUUGUCUCACCAGCUUUAAAUGACAGUUUCAGUUACGCCACAAAUUCAAGUACUCUUCUCAGUCCUUUUAAUUUUAGCCUGUGUAGAAGCUAAAAUCAUACAUGUACGUAUAGGAUCUGAGUUCUUAGCUUCACUCAUAUCUAAUGAUGCUAAGCAUCUUUUCAUGUGCUUAUGGCCCUUUUGGAAAUUCUCUUUGGGGAAAUACCCCUUCAAGACAUACGCCUUUUCCAGGUUUGGGAGCACCUGUAGUUCUGAUCAUUGGUCAGGGGAAAUGAAAAAAAAAAAAAAAGCCUGCAUUCAUUGAAGUUCCAGUUUCUCUUUCA